GUUAAAGUAAGCUAUAUUAGGCUGUCAGGUUCAUACCCUGAAAGAGAGACUACGUUUCCUUUAAUA
rnacentral:tRNA from 2 species